AAUCGUCAAGUGGCGCACGUUAAUUCCGUGCAAUUCGUGCGACGUGGGCGUCUGAGCCUGUGGCGACGACGACGUCACGCGGAGGAUGAAGACGAGGUUGUUCCUGUGCGAAGAGCGCGAAUCGAACCGCCGAAUAAUGCGCCGCCUCCACGUAAUGGACAAGGCAUCCCUCUCAUCGAAAUAGAUAAUGAUGAUGAUGAUAUUGAUGACGAGCAUAAUGGAGAUUCGCAGCGAUCAAGGAACUCGUCAAUU